rnacentral:rRNA from 1 species
GUGGGGAAUAUUGGGCAAUGGGCGAAAGCCUGAUCCAGCCAUGCCGCGUGAGUGAUGAAGGCCUUAGGGUUGUAAAGCUCUUUCAGUAGGGAAGAUAAUGACGGUACCUACAGAAGAAGCCCCGGCUAACUUCGUGCCAGCAGCCGCGGUAAUACGAAGGGGGCUAGCGUUGUUCGGAUUUACUGGGCGUAAAGCGCACGUAGGCGGAUUGGUCAGUUAGAGGUGAAAUCCUGGAGCUCAACUCCAGAACUGCCUUUAAUACUGCCAGUCUAGAGUCCAGAAGAGGUGAGUGGAACUCCUAGUGUAGAGGUGGAAUUCGUAGAUAUUAGGUAGAACACCAGUGGCGAAGGCGGCUCACUGGUCUGGUACUGACGCUGAGGUGCGAAAGCGUGGGGAGCAAACAGGAUUAGAAACCCCAGUAGUCC